UAGGGUGCCCGCGGGUGACGGGGUCCUGAAGGCGGCCGUCUCGGCCCAUUCCGGGUGCAGCGAGGGCCGACUCCAGGGUCUGGGGGUCCCGUGCAGCAGGUAAGCAGACCAAGAUGCGGAAGCGACAAGGAGCAGAGCUGAUGAGUACCGCCUUCAGACCUGGUUGCUGCAGCCUUGCCAGGAAACUAGUCUUCGCCAAGUGCCAGCUGGAGUGCACAGGGGCCGGUGGAGGAACCUGGAGCCCUGGACCGUGGGAGAUCCACUGUACACACAGGAGCGGGCAGCCCGGAAUCACCCCUCCCCUAGGAAUUAACACAGUGACAGAAGACUAUGGACUGAUUCAUGCUCCUUACAUUUUAUUGUUCUAUUUUCCAAUGUAGCAGAAAGUAUAUGUAUACUGAUGUGUUUUAAUUCUAAUUAAAAUGUUUUAAACAUUCUAUUUAAUUUCAUCAA